rnacentral:tRNA from 1 species
AGAGCGCCUCCGGGAGCCAUGAUCUACGGCAAGCUGUUGCUCGGAGGCGUCACCAGGUUCCGCU